GACGAACGCUGGCGGCGUGCCUAAUACAUGCAAGUAGGACGCAGUUGCGAACGGGUGAGUAACGCGUAGGUAACUACCUAUUAGAGGGGGAUAACUAUUGGAAACGAUAGCUAAUACCGAAUACGAGUAGAUGGACCUGCGUUGUAUUAGCUAGUAGGUAGGGUAAUGGCCUACCUGGGCAACGAGACAUCGCCGACCUGAGAGGGUGUGCGGCCACACUGGGACUGAGACACGCCCCAGACUCCUACGGGAGGCAGAGGUAGGGAAUCUUCGGCCAGGGGGGGAACCCUGACCGAGCAACGCGGCGUGAGUGAAGAAGGUUUUCGGAUCGUAAAGCUCUGUUGUUAAGGAAGCGGUACUUAACCAGAAAGGGCCGGCUAACUACGUGCCAGCAGCCGCGGUAAUAC
rnacentral:rRNA from 1 species